ensembl:lncRNA
GUCUGCACCAGCGUCCAUAGCCCCCACGUUGAUCCAGAAAAAGUCAAGCAGCAUGUAUGUAUGGAAGAAUCCUAGAUGAAUGCAGCAUGAAGUCAAUUUGAAGUAACUGAACAUGUUUCUGCAGAUUCACCUGUAUUAGUGUUGCUUAGCAUAAAUUUGCAACAGUUUGUGUCAUCCUCAAGGCUAAAACCUUUAUGGUUCCAGCAUGUGAUGUCCAUGUGAUAUUUUAAUUUCCAGCUGACAAUUAAGUAACCAUUUAUGCAGGCACUGCACUAUUCUUGUGAACAAGUGUCAGCACCAAGACAAAACCUCUACAUCAACAUUAGUAUACGAUUAAACGUCCAAACAGGAAACAAAACAAACUUUAACUUUUAAAGCAGCUUCCCCUUUUUGCUUCUUACUUGGCCAACUCAAGUUUAUCACACUUUUCAGUGCUUAAAUUUCACCAAGCAUAUCAAUUUGGACUAUCAGUAUAAUUUUAGAUUAAUAUUUCUCGCUAAAAAAAAAAAAAAAAAGACAGACAAUGACUUAAUGAGGCAUUUAUCAGCCAUUUAUUGUUAAUUAAGGGAGUUAACAUGGUUAACUGCAUUGAAAGUCAUACAAUAAACCUUUAAGCGUUGUGAGAGGUUCCUCCCCAUGGCAGAGGAGGAAAGCUGCAGGAAUAUACAUACAGUAUAUUUUAUUGGCAAGUAGAUAUGUUUAAGUACAUUCUCCUCUACCUGGAACUCAUGUACAAUUUAAAAAAUAGAUUUUGUUUGCAUUGCGAUCACCUUUUUUUUUUUUGUUUUUUUUGUUCAGGAUGUUAAGGAUGAAAGUAUUCACAUUUAAGUGUUAUGGGUUCUUGAACGGCGGUGGAACUAAAGAGCACUGUUAAGUUGGUUUGUUUCUUUUUAAUAGCUAUCACAUACACAUAGACUCGCCUUCUAUGCGUAUGCCUAUGUAUCUAAAUUGCUUACAUGAUAAAUGGAAAGCAGUUUUAUCAUCUCAGGGAGAAAAAACAAAAACAAGUAUGGCCGUCAGCAGCCACAAUGUCACAGCGCACACGCGCACACACACACACACACACCACAAAAACACUGUAAGCACACAUUCCACAAAACAUUAGGCAGGUACAAAGUCAACCAUUCAACGAUAAAAACUGCAUACAGUACACCACACUACAGAAGAUCUCAGUCAGAUGAUGGCGUUUACACGGGAGAUGUUCCAAAGAACACUUGCUGUGGAGCAGCCACAUAUUUGCAGAGUCCUCCAAUGAGAGGAAGCAGCUCCCGGAAACACUGAUGUCAUGAUUUUUUUUUUUUUUUAUUAAAUCACAGAAAGAAGCUGUUCAGUCCAAAAUCAGUGGUUACGGAGAACUAUUCACAAGGCAAGCUGCUUCUUCCUUUUUCUCAAAAGGAGAGAUUCUGAGUCAGCACUGUUACAGCAAGUUCAAUCGCAAAACUGCAGUUUCUCAAGGCGUAGUGAUGGUAAGCAAAUGUGCAGAAACUGACAAUGCUUGACAAAAUACUGAGGCCACAUGUUUGAAAAAAGUAACUAUCCUAAUAUUGAAGCUGAUCGUGAAGAUAAAGAAACAGUGACAUUUAAGAAAAUACAUUUUCAAUUCUUACUGUUAGCUGAUAAGAUUCCACUCUCAUAUCUGCACUUUGAAUAUAAAGCUGGCUUAGCAUAAGGCUAGUCUGUAUAAGCACAGUCAAGAAUCGCUUCCACCAUACGCUUCCUCAAGGUGAUGUUAGUCAUCCUUCGAGCACUGCACUAUAGAUGGCAAUUUCAAUCAGUCAGUCCACUGCCUUAGUCCAGACUUAAAUCAUCUCAGUAACUAACAGAUGAACAGCCAUUAAAUUUGGUGCUAAUCUUGAAUGCAAGGUACAUUCAAGUUUCCCUGAGGAUACUCAUGUAGUGCCAUUAUGAGAUCAAAUUGGUGAAUAUCUACAAAAGUGAUGACAUCUUUAAAAACCCUUUUUUUAUUUUGCAUGCGAUGCCAAAUGGUAAAUAUUAGUAAGUUACAUGAUAACAAUACAAUUUUCAUAUACCCGGCUGGGCCUAAGGAGGACCUGAUAGCUGCUCCAUGCAGACUCUACAAUAAACAUCACAAGUUACGUAAAAGUGAACAAACCAAAAAGAAUACGGGUCAAUUUGAACCAGGUGUCUAUUACUAUUAUCUGAGAAUAAAGAGCACCCAGACAUUAGCAGAUAUAGAAAAAGUAACACAAGUACUUUUCAUAAGUCCAAUGUGUAACUUAAAAUCAGCAUGGUUUUAUGGAUUUGAUAGAACGAAAGUACGUUUCUUUACAGAUAAUUUAGAAUAGUGAUGUCAUUAAACAUGUAUACAAAUACUAUUAAUCCGAAUAUUUGUUUUAUUGAUUUACCUUUAAGUAGAUUUAAUAUAGCCGUUCCCUCGUUUUCAGUCUCUAAGCAAAACUAAGCUAAACAAAUAGCUACUAGCUAUAGCUUCAUAGUUUACAGAUGUGAGAGUGGGAUCCAUCGUAUUAUCUGGAGUAAAUGAUUGUUUUUCUCCAAAAUGUCAAAGUAUUCCAAUAAAACUGUUCACUUUGAUUGACACACAAAAGAAAGACCAGAAAAUACUCUCCUAUAAAAUGUGUGAAUGUUUGUUUGUGUGUAUAAGCUCCUGAAUCCAACUGACCACAACCAUAACAAUUUAUCUACUACCAAAACUGAUGUGUGAUUAUUUCCUAGAACAAACUUUUAAACUUAAGUACAUGUGGUGUUCAAAAUAGGCAAUGGUAUAUAAAGGCAUUUAUCCUUAACAAGAAAAGAAUAAUAAAAAAAAGGGAAAAUGCACUUACAAAAAAAAGGGGGGGGAAAAAAAAAAAAAAAAAAAAGAGACAUCUUUUUGGCAGCCAUCAGCAUAUGGCAAUGCCUGCAAAUGACAUACAGAGACUCCCCUGAAGUCCUAAUAUGUCAACAUCCUGACUUUGCAACAUAAGUGCAUAGCUUCAGGAAACUCCUCCCAAAAAUCCAGAUUCAUAAAUCCACCAGAUGAAUCAAGGCUUAACUGAAACUAAUGCUGCCAAUUCAAAGUGCAGCAUUAAGGACAUUCGGCUUGAGCUCUGGAAUGAUUAACCAACACUGUUAAUCCUAAUGAAAGCGUACUAAACUCGUGAACUAGGAGACAAAGAAGUUAAUUACACUCCCAAGAACCUGAAUUUUUGUUUCUCUUUGAGGUGUUUUUGCCACAGAAAAAUUAAUUUGUGUAGUUACAAAUCAACAGUAAAAACCACUGGAAGUUUUUCCCCCACUUUUGUUGAGCCCAAAGACUGUAUAACUAGGUGCAAAAUGUGAAUAAAAUUAUGUGUGGGUUUGGCACAGGCCUUUUUCAGUAAACUCUUCACUUCCAUCUACAAACGAUCAAUUUCACUUUCCUUUGGUUAAUUUAAAAAAAAAAAAAAAAAAAUUACACAGAAGAAUGAGAGAUGAGCAAAGAUUAGUUAGGUUCUUUUCCCUCUGAGGAGGGUGCUCGCUGUUGGCAGCCCUUUUUGCAGUGAGAUUUACAAAGCCUAAACCCAAACUGUGGUUUAGUAGUAGAUUUAGCAUGUUAGGCUUCUCAAAGGCUCUUCUGACGAUCACAGUGGUUUAGAAUUCAACUAGAGGGAAAUUGUUCACUUAAGAAUAAGCAAGAACAGGAGGGGAACCCCAGUUUCUGGUCUCCCUCGUAUCUUGUGUGUGUGUGUGUGUGUG